rfam:Schistosoma rodhaini strain Burundi genome assembly, scaffold: SROB_scaffold0000075
GCACUGUUGAAGAGUCCCAUAAUAGGACGAAACGGCCGUCCAGUGC